rnacentral:rRNA from 1 species
GAGCUUGCUCUGGUGGCGAGUGGCGAACGGGUGAGUAAURUAUCGGAACGUACCCKAGAGUGGGGGAUAACGUASCGAAAGUUACGCUAAUACCGCAUACGAUCUAAGGAUGAAAGUGGGGGAUCGCAAGACCUCAUGCUCGUGGAGCGGCCGAUAUCUGAUUAGCUAGUUGGUAGGGUAAAAGCCUACCAAGGCAUCGAUCAGUAGCUGGUCUGAGAGGACGACCAGCCACACUGGAACUGAGACACGGUCCAGACUCCUACGGGAGGCAGCAGUGGGGAAUUUUGGACAAUGGGCGAAAGCCUGAUCCAGCAAUGCCGCGUGAGUGAAGAAGGCCUUCGGGUUGUAAAGCUCUUUUGUCAGGGAAGAAACGGUGARAGCUAAUAUCUYUUGCUAAUGACGGUACCUGAAGAAUAAGCACCGGCUAACUACGUGCCAGCAGCCGCGGUAAUACGUARGGUGCAAGCGUUAAUCGGAAUUACUGGGCGUAAAGCGUGCGCAGGCGGUUUUGUAAGUCUGAUGUGAAAUCCCCGGGCUCAACCUGGGAAUUGCAUUGGAGACUGCAAGGCUAGAAUCUGGCAGAGGGGGGUAGAAUUCCACGUGUAGCAGUGAAAUGCGUAGAUAUGUGGAGGAACACCGAUGGCGAAGGCAGCCCCCUGGGUCAAGAUUGACGCUCAUGCACGAAAGCGUGGGGAGCAAACAGGAUUAGAUACCCUGGUAGUCCACGCCCUAACGAUGUCUACUAGUUGUCGGGUCUUAAUUGACUU